GUUUAAAGAUUGUAUUACAUUAUCUAAAAGUGCGAAAGUAAACCCCAGCUGUUAUUCUUUUCACAGGGAAGACAAUCCCCAUUAUGCCAUGAAUGUUUCAUUGCUGAACAACCGUAGAUAUUUUUCCUUUAAUUUGGCUCCCGUUCCUCCAACAGUGAGCAAGACCUGCCAGCAGAGCUCACUGGAGCAGGGAGACAUCCCGUCAUCCUUUUGGCGCCUGACAAAGCUUGAGAUUCAGAUCCUGCUGAACGAUGUUAAGCAGUCGAUUAACCACAUGCAGGGGACGCUGAACACCAUGCAGCGGCAGUGUAUUGAGUUGCAGACUGCCAUAUCUAAGAUCAUCACAGCAGCCGAAGUUGCUGUGCAGAGGGAGGAGAUCGUCCAAGCAUCAGGCCUCAUCCUGUCACAGAGGGAGGGUAUCCUCCAAACAGCCAGUGUACCUUCACAGAGGGAGGGAAUCCUCCAAACAGCCAGUGUCCCUGCACAGAGGGAGGGAAUCCUCCAAACAGCCAGUGUCCCUGCACAGAGGGAGGGAAUCCUCCAAACAGCCAGUGUACCUUCACAGAGGGAGGGGAUUCUCUCAGCAGCUAGCAUCACUGUGCAGAGGGAGGAGAUCCUCCGAUCAUCAGGCCUCAUCCCUGCACAGAGGGAGGAGAUUCUCCAAACAGCCAGUGUCCCUGCACAGAGGGAGGAGAUUCUCCAAUCAGCCAGUGUCCCUGCACAGAGGGAGGAGAUUCUCCAAUCAGCCAGUGUCCCUGCACAGAGGGAGGGGUUUCUCCAAACAGCCAGUGUCCCUGCACAGAGGGAGGGGUUUCUCCAAACAGCCAGUGUCCCUGCACAGAGGGAGGGGAUUCUCCGAGCAUCAGGCCUCAUCCCUGCACAGAGGGAGGGGAUUCUUCCAGCAGCUUCUAUCACUGCUCGGAAGAAGAAGAUCCUCAGAGCAUCACACCUCACCCCUGCACAAAGGGAGUUGAUCCUCCUGAUGGCCAGUGUCACUGCGCAGAGGAAAGGAAUCUUCCCAAAGGCCAGCGUCCCUGCGCACAGGGAGUGGAUCGUCCCAAAGGCUAGUGUCCCUGCAGAGAGGGAGGAGAUCUUCCUCACAACCAGUGUCCCUGUGAAGAAUGGAAACAAUCAUCCACAACCACCUCCCAUCAUCCCCAUGGUAGCACCACUGUGGAAAUGGGAUGGUGGAGCGGGUACUCCACCUGUGGAUUUCUAUUCCAAGAGAAGAGGUCACUUACAUUUACAUUUAAGUCAUUUAGCAGA
rnacentral:lncRNA from 1 species